AUUGAACGCUAGCGGCAUGCCUUACACAUGCAAGUCGAACGGAGUGGCGAACGGGUGAGUAAUGUCUCGUAACGUGCCCAGUAGCGGGGGAUCACUACGCGAAAGCGUAGCUAAUACCGCAUACUAUUGGAGCGGCCGCUGUCGGAUUAGCUAGUUGGUGGGGUAACGGCUCACCAAGGCGACGAUCCGUAGCUGGUUUGAGAGGACGACCCGCCACACUGGGACUGAGACACGGCCCAGACUCCUACGGGAGGCAGCAGUGGGGAAUCUUGGACAAUGGGCGAAACCCUGAUCCAGCCAUCCCGCGUGGGUGAUGAAGGCCUUCGGGUUGUAAAGCACUUUUGGUAGGGAAGCGGUACCUGCAGAAUAAGCACCGGCUAACUACGUGCCAGCCGCCGCGGUAAUAC
rnacentral:rRNA from 1 species